rnacentral:rRNA from 1 species
CCGUAACUAUAACGGUCCUAAGGUAGCGAAAUUCCUUGUCGGGUAAGUUCCGACCUGCACGAAUGGCGUAAUGAUGGCCAGGCUGUCUCCACCCGAGACUCAGUGAAAUUGAACUCGCUGUGAAGAUGCAGUGUACCCGCGGCAAGACGGAAAGACCCCGUGAACCUUUACUAUAGCUUGACACUGAACAUUGAGCCUUGAUGUGUAGGAUAGGUGGGAGGCUUUGAAGCGUGGACGCCAGUCUGCGUGGAGCCAACCUUGAAAUACCACCCUUUAAUGUUUGAUGUUCUAACGUUGGCCCCUGACCGGGGUUGCGGACAGUGUCUGGUGGGUAGUUUGACUGGGGCGGUCUCCUCCCAAAGAGUAACGGAGGAGCACGAAGGUUAGCUAAUCCUGGUCGGACAUCAGGAGGUUAGUGCAAUGGCAUAAGCUAGCUUGACUGCGAGCGUGACGGCGCGAGCAGGUGCGAAAGCAGGUCAUAGUGAUCCGGUGGUUCUGAAUGGAAGGGCCAUCGCUCAACGGAUAAAAGGUACUCCGGGGAUAACAGGCUGAUACCGCCCAAGAGUUCAUAUCGACGGCGGUGUUUGGCACCUCGAUGUCGGCUCAUCACAUCCUGGGGCUGAAGUAGGUCCCAAGGGUAUGGCUGUUCGCCAUUUAAAGUGGUACGCGAGCUGGGUUUAGAACGUCGUGAGACAGUUCGGUCCCUAUCUGCCGUGGGCGCUGGAGAAUUGAGGGGGGCUGCUCCUAGUACGAGAGGACCGGAGUGGACGCAUCACUGGUGUUCGGGUUGUCAUGCCAAUGGCAUUGCCCGGUAGCUAAAUGCGGAAGAGAUAAGUGCUGAAAGCAUCUAAGCACGAAACUUGCCCCGAGAUGAGUUCUCCCUGAGACUUUAAGUCUCCUGAAGGAACGUUAAAGACGAUGACGUUGAUAGGUCGGGUGUGUAAGCGUAGCGAUACGUUGAGCUAACCGAUACUAAUGAACCGUGAGG